GGCUUGGGGCAGCAGCUGGAGUGGGCAAGCUGGGGGCUGCCAGGGGAAGGGGCCAGGGUGGGGGGGAGCAUCUACUUCCUUUAAUGCCUAUAUGGCCUUUUUAAAUUAAAAAACUAAUAGUCCUCCUUUGAACAAAUUCAAACAGUCCAGUGUGUGUUUGUGUGUACACUGACAGAACCCUCAGCCCUGCCUCCCGCUCCCGACUGUAAUAGUUCACAGUAGAGCUUUCCAGAGCUCUAGCAUUUUCUAUUAUUUGCCGACCCAUGGCUUUGGAUUAGCGUCAGACGGGCCUUGUUAAAAUACAGGAUGAGAGAAUGGCAAUGGUGAAAUUGCCCAUCUUCCUGAUGGAGAGUUCAAUAAAUUCUAUUGGUCUGGAAAGGAUCCUUCCAGACUUUUUUUUUGUCUGUGUGCAUAUGAAUACUUACAUAUAUAUUCAUUUGUAGCUUUAUGGUUGGUGGUUCUAUUUUUUUUUUUUUUUUAACAAAAGCAAGAGUAUUUUCUACCUAGAGUUGAGCAGGUUCACACUGUAAUGUGUCUUGGAGGAUCACUUCCAAGUCACCACAUAAAGAUGAACCUCAUGAUUAGAACAGCUGCUUAAUAUUCCUAAUAUUCCACAGCUCCUAAUACUCCAUAGUGUAAAUACUUGUGAAUAUAUUCAUUUGUAGCUUUAUGGUGUUUUUUUUUUUUUUUUCUUUUUUAACGAAAGUAGGAGUAUUUUAAGAAUGCCCUUCGUGGCUCAGUGCUGAAUGAAACCGACUAGCAUCCGUGAGGACGUGGGUUCGAUCCUGGGCCUCACUCAGUGGGUUAAGGAUCCGGCAUUGUCAACUGCUAUGGCUUCAAUCCCUAGCCUGGGAACUUCCAGAUACCACAGCCAUGGCCAAAAAAAUAAAAAAAGAAUGACUCUCUACAGCAGCCACACUGGUCCUGCUAUUCCUCAAACACUCUCAGAGGCUCUAGUCCCAGGAUCUUUGCUUUGGCUGUUUCCUCUGCUGGUACCCACCCUUCCCCCCUCCCCACCCCAUCCCCAGAUAGUUACAUCACCAGAUCCUCAUCUUCAAGUCCCUGGUCAAAUGCUUCUUUCUCAGAGAGGCUGACCCUGGUCAUCCUAUUUAAAACUGCACUACGGCCCCCUCUCCAGUACUAUCCUCCUAGCUCAGCUCCAUAUUUUUGUUUGGUCCAUCAUGUUCAUCACCUUUUAACGAGCUUUAUAACUUAGCUUAUUACUGUCUGCCCUACAAGUCCUGCCCCUGGCUAUACAAGGAAAGGAAUUUUUGCCUUUUUGUUCACUGAUGAAGCCCAAGUACACAGAACAAUGCCUGGCACAUAAUGGACACGCAAUAAAUAUUUGUGGAAUGAAUGAAUGGACAACUGCUCUGGACCCAGGAAUGUAUGUGACACCAAGACAAAUAACACACAAAGGUGCCAGCUGAUCACAUGCCACCCAUGUUAUCGCCCAAGACACUGGUGACAAUAUGUAAUGGGACAGACACCCUCCUCCAAAAAAACACUACCAAUUUAUUAAUCGACUCCCUCAAUGUAUCAUUUUUCAAUCAGUAAAACAAAGUGAAACAAAUAGUAACCCUAUUUCAAAAAAUAUUCUUUCGAAUGGCAUUGGAAAUGCUCAUCUCACAGACAACCAGGUCAGUGGGGGAUAUAGGAAGGCAUGUAGUCAGCAAUAUGGCCUGUGGUCCCAAUUAUAGGAAAACAGCUAUCUACACAGAAACAAGACUGGAAAGAAAUAUACCAAAAUGUUAAUGGUGAUUAUUUCUGAGUUGUGGGAUCAUGGUUCCUUUCUAUUUUUCCUUUAUGUUUUUCAAAGUUUCUACAAUAAGCAAGUAUUUCUCUCUUUCUUUUUUGUUUUUGUCUUUUCAGGGCUGCGCCUGCGGUAUAUGGAGGCUCCAGGCUAGGGGUCGAAU
rnacentral:lncRNA from 1 species